GUUUUAAUGGGUAGGGUUUUUCUCGUUGAGUUGGAAGGCAGGUCUUACAGAUGCCGCUUCUGUAACAACAAUAUCGCUCUUGCCGAUGACGUCCUCUCUCGGACUUUCAAUUGCAGUCGAGGGAAGGCAUAUCUUUUCAGCAAUGUAGUGAAUAUAACAUCUGGACCCAAGGUGGAGAGGUUGAUGCUUUCUGGUAUGCACACUGUGGAAGAUAUCUUUUGUUGCUGUUGCG
rnacentral:misc_RNA from 1 species